AGUGAACGCUGGCGGUAGGCCUAACACAUGCAAGUCGAACGGCAGCACAGUAAGAGCUUGCUCUUACGGGUGGCGAGUGGCGGACGGGUGAGGAAUACAUCGGAAUCUACUUUUUCGUGGGGGAUAACGUAGGGAAACUUACGCUAAUACCGCAUACGACCUACGGGUGAAAGCAGGGGAUCUUCGGACCUUGCGCGAUUGAAUGAGCCGAUGUCGGAUUAGCUAGUUGGCGGGGUAAAGGCCCACCAAGGCGACGAUCCGUAGCUGGUCUGAGAGGAUGAUCGGCCACACUGGAACUGAGACACGGUCAAGACUCCUAAGGGAGGCAGCAGUGGGGAAUAUUGGACAAUGGGCGCAAGCCUGAUCCAGCCAUACCGCGUGGGUGAAGAAGGCCUUCGGGUUGUAAAGCCCUUUUGUUGGGAAAGAAAAGCAGCAGGUUAAGACCCAGCUGUUCUGACGGUACCCAAAGAAUAAGCACCGGCUAACUUCGUG
rnacentral:rRNA from 1 species